ACACAUGCAGUCGAACGGAGAUUACAGGCGGAAGUUUUCGGAUGGAAGCUUGUAAACUUAGUGGCGGACGGGUGAGUAACACGUGAGCAACCUGCCUAUCAGAGGGGGAUAACGAUUGGAAACGAUCGCUAAUACCGCAUGACAUAGCGGAACCGCAUGGUUUUGCUAUCAAAGAUUUUAUCGCUGAUAGAUGGGCUCGCGUCCGAUUAGAUAGUUGGUGGGGUAACGGCCUACCAAGUCGACGAUCGGUAGCCGGACUGAGAGGUCGAACGGCCACAUUGGGACUGAGACACGGCCCAGACUCCUACGGGAGGCAGCAGUGGGGGAUAUUGCACAAUGGGGGAAACCCUGAUGCAGCGACGCCGCGUGAGGGAAGACGGUCCUCUGGAUUGUAAACCUCUGUCUUCGGGGACGAAACGAGACGGUACCCGAGGAGGAAGCCACGGCUAACUACGUGCCAGCAGCCGCGGUAAUACGUAGGUGGCAAGCGUUGUCCGGAAUUACUGGGUGUAAAGGGAGCGUAGGCGGGCAGGCAAGUCAGGCGUGAAAUAUAUCGGCUCAACCGGUAACGGCGCUUGAAACUGCAGGUCUUGAGUGAAGUAGAGGUUGGCGGAAUUCCUAGUGUAGCGGUGAAAUGCGUAGAUAUUAGGAGGAACACCAGUGGCGAAGGCGGCCAACUGGGCUUUUACUGACGCUGAGGCUCGAAAGUGUGGGGAGCAAACAGGAUUAGAUACCCUGG
rnacentral:rRNA from 1 species